rnacentral:misc_RNA from 1 species
GAUGAAGAACGUAGCGAAAUGCGAUAAGUAGUGUGAAUUGCAGAAUUCAGUGAAUCAUCGAAUCUUUGAACGCACAUUGCGCCCUUUGGUAUUCCUUAGGGCAUGCCUGUUCGAGCGUCAUUUAAACCUUCAAGCUAAGCUUGGUGUUGGGUGACUGUCCGCCUCACGGCGGACUCGCCUCAAAAUUAUUGGCGGCCGGUACAUUGGCUUCGAGCGCAGCAGAAACGCGAACUCGGGCCCGUCGUAUUGGCUCCCAGAAGCUAUCUUCACAAUUUUGACUUCGGAUCAGGUAGGGAUACCCGCUGAACUUAAGCAUAUCAAUAAGCGGAGGA